CACGCUUAUUCAGUCGUUCCGCGAACGUUUACGCGUGGAACUUGUCACGCGAGCCGGCCCGUCCUUCCGGGCCGGAGGUCCCGCCCCCGGAAGUCCCUGGCCGCCGCGGGCCCGCCACUCAGGGAGGCGCAUGCGUCCUUGCGUUCGGGGCGGGGACGCCGAGGGAGGCUGUCCGGCGCCCUGGGGCCGGCGGCGUCGCGCGUUCCCGCCCUCGGUCCGCCCGCUGAGGCCGGCGCCGUCUGCCCUUCCCCUGCGCGCCGGCGAGCUGGGGCGUCCGCUCUCGGUGCCUGAGCCUCGAGUCCUCGCGGGGCCCGCGCAGCCCGGGGAGGAGGUGACCUGGAAAACAGAAACUCUGGCCGCGGAGUGAAAUGAAAGGUGGAAGGCACACAGCAGUGAAGGUGUCGCUUAGGACGCCUGCAUCCCACAUCAGUCCCGGCUCUCACUUCUGACCCAGCUUCCUGCUAAUACGCACCCUUGGAGGCAGCGGACGACAACUCAAGUGCUUGGCUCAGAGACCUGGGCUAAGUUUCCAGGCUCCUGGCUUCUCCCGGGCCCAGCCUCGGCUGUUAGGAGCAUCUGAGGAGUAAGCCAGCAGAUGGAAGAUCUCCGUGGGCCCGUCUCAGUCUGCUUGCUUUUCAAAUGAAUUAAAAAUCAAUAAGCAACGAUUUGAUCGAUAGGAAAAAAAGUAACGCCAGGGCAGCCUGGACUGGCCAGGGACAGCAGGACAAGAACUAGGGGUUCCCUGAGUCACCUCCAGCUUCUGGCUCUCAGUCCCCCCUCAACUCCUGGUCUCCCUCCUUCAAGGGGAGUGGAGCUCAGAGCAACAUUCUGUAAACACUUUGCGGGGAGUCUGUCACUGCUUUCCAUGGGGCUGAGGUUGGGCACAGUGUAGGAUCCAGGAACCCAUGAAUACACAAGGAGUCGUGGACGGGGCCUGAGCCAAAUUCUUGCCGUGGCAGCAAAGCUGCCCGGACCCAGCCCUCCUUCAGGGGGGUGAAUGAGCCCGUGUAUUCCGUCCAGGCUGCACGCAACACCAUAAGGCAAUGUGGAAGGAAAAGUAAAAAGCGGAAACAUUACUUGCUUAUCAUUAUAGGCUUCCUGAAAUCACAAUGAAUAUUCACGAGCACGUGUAAUAAUAUGCAGUAAAAAUACCAGUCAGCCCAGAACCAAGACACGCUGACCCCAGCAGGAAAUCACCCCUGUGGAGGGGUGGACAAGACCCAGGUGGGGGGCUUUUGCUAUACCUGUCAUGUUUUAUUAGAGAGAGAGAGAGCGAGAGAGCGAGCGCUGUAAUUAUAGCAAAAUCUAACCUAUUUGUUCACUGUGAGUAUGUAGGUGUCUUGUAUUUUCUGUGUGUCUGAAUGGUU
rnacentral:lncRNA from 1 species